rnacentral:rRNA from 1 species
GCUUGUCUCAAAGCUUAAGCCAUGCAAGUCUAAGUUCACGCCACGCAUUAGAACGGGCGAAACCGCGAAUGGCUCAGGAACCGGACCUAAUCCUCGGGACCGUAAUCCUCCUCCUGGAGGCGAUGGAUAACUGUGGCAAUUCUAGAGCUAAUACAUGUGACACAAGCCGCGAUCGGUCGGCGCGUUGCGUCGCCUUAGCCUUUGGGUUUGGGCACCCGCGUCGAUCGUUACGGGUCGCGGCGCUACAUAUUAGACUGAGACCGAUGCGCGUUCUUCCGUCCUCCCGUUCGAGGCCGUUCGCUUCGGCGUUCGACUCGGCGGGGUUACUAUGGGCGGCGCGCUCCGCUUUGGUGACUCUGGAUAACUCACUGGUCGAUCGCACCGGCUUUAUGCCUGGCGACGGGUCUCUCGAGGGUCCGCCCUAUCAACUGUCGACGGUCGGUUAAGUGCCUACCGUGGUUACUACGGGUAACGGGGAAUCGGGGUUCGAUUCCGGAGAGGGAGCAUGCGAAACGGCUACCACAUCCAAGGAAGGCAGCAGGCGCGCAAAUUACCCACUCCCGGCACGGGGAGGUAGUGACGAAAAAUAACGACGCGGGACUCUGUCGAGGCCCCGCGAUCGGAAUGAGUACACUUCAAAUCCGUUAACGAGGACCAACCGGAGGGCAAGUCUGGUGCCAGCAGCCGCGGUAAUUCCAGCUCCGGUAGCGUAUAUUAAAGUUGUUGCGGUUAAAAAGCUCGUAGUCCGAACUCGGGUUCGUGGUCGCUCGCGCGGCCCCGGGGCGGCGGCGCCAUCGUCCGUUGUUGACUUUGGUCGUCCGUUCGCAUUCCCGGCCCUUUCCGCCGGUGUCGACUGCCAUGUACAUCCGCCUCGCGGUCUGCCGGCAGGAAYCUUUGCGUGUUCGCGGCGUCGCUCGUCGUCGUCGUGUCGCGCAAUCUCCCGUCGUGCGCGCGUGUUUGCGGUCGGGCGGUUUCUCCUCCAAGGGUGCUCUUAACCGAGUGUCCGCGGCGGCCGGUACGUUCACUUUGAAAAAAUUAGAGUGCUCAGAGCGGGCUGUUCAAGCUUGCAUACGAUAAGCAUGGAAUGAUGGAAGAGGGCCUCGUCUACGUCUGUCGGUCUCCGUCUACGGCGAGGCAAUGAUCGAAGGGAGCGGUCGGGGCCACUCGUAUUGCGACGUUAGAGGUGAAAUUCUUGGAUCGUCGCAAGACGAACUGCAGCGAUGGCGUGUGGCAAGCACGUUUUCCUCGAUCAAGAGCGAAAGUCGGAGGUUCGAAGACGAUCAGAUACCGUCGUAGUUCCGACCGUAAACGAUGCCGACCGGCGAUCCGCCGGCGUUCGCUUCCAUGACCCGGCGGGUAGCCUGCGGGAAACCAGAGUUCGGUUCCGGGGGGAGUAUGGUUGCAAAGCUGAAACUUAAAGGAAUUGACGGAAGGGCACCACCAGGAGUGGAGCCUGCGGCUUAAUUUGACUCAACACGGGAAAACUCACCCGGUCCGGACACCGGUAGGAUUGACAGAUCGAUAGCUCUUUCUCGAUUCGGUGGGUGGUGGUGCAUGGCCGUUCUUAGUUGGUGGAGCGAUCCGUCUGGUUGAUUCCGAUAACGAACGAGACUCCGGCCUGCUAACUAGUGCGCCGAUGUGUGUGCGUUUUUUGCUACGGCGGGCUCGGGCCGUGCGUGUUCGUCGUGCGUCGCUUCCGGCGUGCGUUUGCGUGCGUCUCUCGCUGUCGGCUUCGGGCUYUCGGGUUCGUGGUCGGCGGCUGGGUGGCGUGCGUGGCGCCGCCGCGGACGGCGUGCGGUCGUGCGCGCGGUUUCCGCCGGGUCCGGGUCGGUUUUCUCACGCACUUCUUAGAGGGACGGGUGGCAGAAAGCCACACGAGGCGGAGCAAUAACAGGUCUGUGAUGCCCUUAGAUGUCCGGGGCCGCACGCGCGCUACACUGGAGGUAUCAGCGGGGACUUCGCCCCGGCCCGAGAGGGCUGGGAAACCUCUCAACCACCUCCCGUGAUAGGGAUCGGGGCCUGUAACCAACCCCGUGAACGAGGAAUUCCCGGUAGGCGCGGGUCAACAGCCCGCGUCGAUCACGUCCCUGCCCUUUGUACACACCGCCCGUCGCUACUACCGAUCGAACGGUCCGGUGAGGUCCUCGGAUCUGGCCGACGACGCCGCCGGGCUGCCUGGUGGUUCGCUGCCUGUGCCGCCUCGGCGUUCGACGCCUGGAGAAGACGACCGAACCCGAUCGUUUAGAGGAAGUAAAAGUCGUAACAAGGUUUCC